rnacentral:rRNA from 1 species
UAGGUGUCUGCUAAGUCGCAAGACGAUGUAUAGGAGCUGACGCCUGCCCGGUGCUGGAAGGUUAAGGGGAUCUGUUAGAGCGAUCGAAGCAGUGAACUUAAGCCCCAGUAAACGGCGGCCGUAACUAGAACGGUCCUAAGGUAGCGAAAUUCCUUGUCGGGUAAGUUCCGACCCGCACGAAAGGCGUAACGAUUUGGGCACUGUC